AGGGUGACAGGUGGUGCAUGGUUGUCGUCAGCUCGUGUCGUGAGAUGUUGGGUUAAGUCCCGCAACGAGCGCAACCCUCGACCUUAGUUGCCAGCAUUCAGUUGGGCACUCUAAGGUGACUGCCGGCUAAAAGUCGGAGGAAGGUGGGGAUGACGUCAAGUCCUCAUGGCCUUUAUGCCCAGGGCUACACACGUGCUACAAUGGUCUGUACAAUGGGUAGCCAAGCCGCGAGGCGGAGCCAAUCCUGAAAGCAGGCCUCAGUUCAGAUUGCAGUCUGCAACUCGACUGCAUGAAGCCGGAGUUGCUAGUAACCGCAGGUCAGCAAUACUGCGGUGAAUACGUUCCCGGGUCUU
rnacentral:rRNA from 1 species